rnacentral:rRNA from 1 species
CACAUCUAAGGAAGGCAGCAGGCGCGCAAAUUACCCAAUCCUGACACAGGGAGGUAGUGACAAGAAAUAACAAAGCAAGCCUCUUCGAGGCGCUGCGUUGGAAUGAGUAGAAUUUAAAUCUCUGUACGACCAUCAAUUGGAGGGCAAGUCUGGUGCCAGCAGCCGCGGUAAUUCCAGCUCCAAUAGCGUAUAUUAAAGUUGUUGCGGUUAAAAAGCUCGUAGUUGGAUUUCUGUGGGGACGGAGCGGCCGGCCGCACAUCGCGGUUCGAGCUAGCGCUUUCCCUACAUCCUGCCGCGAACCGUGCUACCAUUAAUUUGGUGGCGCCGGGGAUCGGCUCGAUUACUUUGAGAAAAAUAGAGUGUUCAAAGCAGGCCACAUGCCUUGAAUAAGUUAGCAUGGAAUAAUAACUAAGGACUUCGGUUCUAUUUUGUUGGUGUUCGGGACUGAAGUAAUGAUUGAUAGGGACAGUUGGGGCGGUCUGUAUUCCAAAGCGAGAGGUGAAAUUCUUAGACCUUCGGAAGACAAACAGCUGCGAAAGCGUUCCGCAAGGAUGUUCCCUUUGAUCAAGAACGAAAGUUGGGGGAUCGAAGACGAUCAGAUACCGUCGUAGUCUCAACUAUAAACUAUACCAGCUAGGGAUCGGCCAACGUUAUUCUAUACCGACUUGGUCGGCACCUUAUGAGAAAUCAAAGCAUCUGGGUUCCGGGGGGAGUAUGGUCGCAAGGCUGAAACUUAAAGGAAUUGACGGAAGGGCACCACCAGCCGUGGAGCCUGUGGCUUAAUUUGACUCAACACGGGAAAACUUACCAGGUCCAGACAUAGUAAGGAUUGACAGAUUGAUAGCUCUUUCUUGAUUCUGUGGGUGGUGGUGCAUGGCCGUUCUUAGUUGGUGGAGUGAUUUGUCUGGUUAAUUCCGUUAACGAACGAGACCCCAGCCUGCUAAAUAGCGCGCGUGAGCUUUGCUCGCAGCGAGCUUCUUAGAGGGACUAUGAUGCGCGAUAGCACAUGGAAGUUUGGGGCAAUAACAGGUCUGGGCCGCACACGGGCUACACUGGCGCCUGCAACGAGCAUAUCAGCUGGCCCGAGAGGGUCUUGGCUAAUCUUUUGAACCGGCGCCGUGCUUGGGAUUGACCUUUGCAAUUGUUGGUCAUGCAACGAGGAAUGCCUUGUAAACGCGAGUCAUCAGCUCGCAUUGAAUACGUCCCUGCCCUUUGUACACACCGCCCGUCGCUCCUACCGAUGAAUGUUCCGAUGAAAUUUUCGGAGAGCACCUGUGAACUUGGCUCUGCCUUGCGAACGGGAGGCUCAAAGUCACUUAAAUCUGAACAUUUCGAGG